AGUGAACGCUGGCGGUAGGCCUAACACAUGCAAGUCGAACGGCAGCACAGUAAGAGCUUGCUCUUACGGGUGGCGAGUGGCGGACGGGUGAGGAAUACAUCGGAAUCUACUUUUUCGUGGGGGAUAAUGUAGGGAAACUUACGCUAAUACCGCAUACGACCUACGGGUGAAAGCAGGGGAUCUUCGGACCUUGCGCGAUUGAAUGAGCCGAUGUCGGAUUAGCUAGUUGGCGGGGUAAAGGCCCACCAAGGCGACGAUCCGUAGCUGGUCUGAGAGGAUGAUCAGCCACACUGGACCUGAGACACGGUCCAGACUCCUACGGGAGGCGGCAGUGGGGAAUAUUGGACAAUGGGCGCAAGCCUGAUCCAGCCAUACCGCGUGGGUGAAGAAGGCCUUCGGGUUGUAAAGCCCUUUUGUUGGGAAAGAAAAGCAGCAGGUUAAUACCCCGCUGUUCUGACGGUACCCAAAGAAUAAGCACCGGCUAACUUCGUG
rnacentral:rRNA from 1 species